rnacentral:misc_RNA from 1 species
UGAAUGGAUGUCCAAUUGAAUUCUGAUGUCAUCAAUUUAAAAAUAAAACAAAAAUAAGUGGUAAGAUAAAGCUACUUAAUUACUCAAGCUGCAAGGGAUCCAUUAUUAUAAAUUUAAACUAUUUUCUAAAAAAAAAAUUCAUAAAUUUUAAUUGAAUGGUAGUUUUUAAAGUAGAAUCACAUCCUGAUAUUAUUACUUGAAUUUUUUUUUUCUUGAGUUAGAAAUAUUAAAAGAAAGAGGAUCUUAAGUGAGAUUGUUUAAAGCUUUAAUUGAAAGAGUUCAUCACCGCUUCUCACUGAUUUUAGAAAAUUUUUCAAGCUUGCAAAAUUUUGGAGUGUUAUAGAAACUCCAUCACAGCCAUUCCAGAUGUUUCAAGGGCCUUUAACAUUACGGGCUUUACUUGUGGCCAAUUUUACUUCGGUUGCUGAACUUAGUGUGCCUAUAAAUAAGUAUUUGUGUGUGCUGUUUUGAUUUGUGAGUGAAUGAGAUGUUCAAGUGAGAGUGUACUAGAGUCCAAGAGUGUUAAUCGUGAGUGUGCACG